UACGUAGGGGGCAAGCGUUGUCCGGAAUCAUUGGGCGUAAAGAGCGUGUAGGCGGCUCGGUAAGUCCGCUGUAAAAGUCCAGGGCUCAACCCUGGAAAGCCGGUGGAAACUGUCGAGCUAGAGUCCGGAAGAGGAGAGUGGAAUUCCUGGUGUAGCGGUGAAAUGCGCAGAUAUCAGGAAGAACACCCGUGGCUAAGGCGGCUCUCUAGUACGGUACUGACGCUGAGACGCGAAAGCGUGGGGAGCGAAACAGG
rnacentral:rRNA from 1 species